rnacentral:lncRNA from 1 species
UGGCACACACGGCCUUAGAGUCUGGCAACAAGCAGACAAAAGGCUACAAGAAAACACCACGAAAGUGAAACGGGCGAACUACCCAUAAAAGAUGUGAAUCGUCAGGUUGGGUCUAAAAAUUGCACAGUUAAAUUCAAUGUUCGUUUCCUGAAUAAACUAAGACCGGGACAAAAGCACGAAUUGCUACUUCUGUAGUACAAGAAAACAAAAGCUUCCUUUCCCCCCACUAUGUUUCCUUCUAUCUAAGAUCGGUAAUCUGCGUUUUUUUGCAGAGCAGACUCCCAUGAGACUCCUGCAACAGAUAGCAAGUCUUUAUUUUAGUGUGGCAACGAUAAUAAGCAGUAAACGUCAAUGUUAUCUCCAAGGCUGAAUCAGACCUGUUCCAAUGUGACCCAAAUUUAAGCUAAGCAAAGUUUCAGACGGGGGAAAGGAACUGUAGAUCAAUUAUUCUCCUACAGUACAAA